rnacentral:rRNA from 1 species
AACGAACGCUGGCGGCAGGCUUAACACAUGCAAGUCGAACGCCCCGCAAGGGGAGUGGCAGACGGGUGAGUAACGCGUGGGAACAUACCCUUUCCUGCGGAAUAGCUCUGGGAAACUGGAAUUAAUACCGCAUACGCCCUACGGGGGAAGGAUUUAUCGGGGAAGGAUUGGCCCGCGUUGGAUUCGCUAGUUGGUGGGGUAAAGGCCUACCAAGGCGACGAUCCAUAGCUGGUCUGAGAGGAUGAUCAGCCACAUUGGGACUGAGACACGGCCCAAACUCCUACGGGAGGCAGCAGUGGGGAAUAUUGGACAAUGGGCGCAAGCCUGAUCCAGCCAUGCCGCGUGAGUGAUGAAGGCCUUAGGGUUGUAAAGCUCUUUCACCGAUGAAGGUAAUGACGGUAGUCGGAGAAGAAGCCCCGGCUAACUUCGUGCCAGCCGCCGCCGUAAUAC